rnacentral:lncRNA from 1 species
UCAAGUUCCCGGCCGUCUUGAACUUGAGCGUCCUUUCCUUUUACGACGCAACUGGAAAGAGCUGGGCAUCAGGAUCAAUGAGUUCACAAGACUACGCGCUUGACUACGACGAUGCGAAUGUGUUGGGGAGACUUACGCUGGACGACGAUGGCAAUCUCGGGAUCUACAGCUUCGGCCCGAAGAACAAGAGUGGCUCCUGGAGCGUCGUCUGGCAAGCCGUCAUGCUCGAGUGCGACAUCUUUGGAACAUGUGGACCUUUCGCUCUCUGCACCUACAGGCCCACAAAAACUUGCAACUGUGCUCCUGUCCAAACGACGAAUCAAAGGGAUGUGACUACGACAUACCUCUGGGAGCUUGUCAAAACUCCCCAAUCUCGGUGAAGCUCGUCCAGGUGAAUCGAGCAGACUACUACUUCAACGAUUACAACUUCGACUCGACCAUCAAGUCGCUCGAAGAGUUAGGCUCGGGAGGAUUCGGGAGCGUGUAUAGAGGAAACAUGGCCAUGAAGAACAUCACCACCGUGAACCAGGCUGAGAAGCAAUUCAAGGCCGAGGUGAGCACGAUUGGAAGAGUACACCACGUCAACUUGGCUCCGCCUCCUCGGCUACUGCGCCGAGGGAGACCACCACCUCCUCGUCUACGAGUUCAUGCCAAACGGUUCUCUCGAUCACCACCUCUCGGCCUCGUCCUCAUUCGCCGCCUCGCAAGAGAUUUUCUCAACCUGGGAGACACGACACUCAAUCGCGCUGGAGAUUGCCAAAGGAUUGACAUACCUCCUCGUCCACUGCGAUAUCAAGCCACAAAACGUGAUGCUGGACGAGAGCUCUGGCCAAAGGUGUCCAACUUUGGGCUGGCGAGGAUGAUGAGAAAAGAAUCGAUGAGCAUCAACACCGUGCAAGGAACCAGGGGAUACCUCGCUCCAGAGUGGCUCGAGAGCCAAUCCAUCACCCCCAAGGCCGAGGAUCCAGGAUCCAGGCCAGCGAUGAGCCGCGUGGUGCAGAUCCUGGAGGGCAAAGCGGAGGCGCCGGCGCCGCCAUUUCCAG